UACGAAGGGGGCUAGCGUUGUUCGGAAUUACUGGGCGUAAAGGGCGCGUAGGCGGCUCAUGAAGGCUGUGGUGAAAGUCCGGGGCUCAACCUCGGAUCGGCCGUGGCGACUCGUGGGCUGGAGCACUGUAGAGGCGGGUGGAAUUCCGGGUGUAGCGGUGGAAUGCGUAGAGAUCCGGAAGAACACCAGUGGCGAAGGCGGCCCGCUGGGCAGUGGCUGACGCUGAAGCGCGACAGCGUGGGGAGCAAACAGG
rnacentral:rRNA from 1 species